rnacentral:rRNA from 1 species
UACGUAGGGCGCAAGCGUUGUCCGGGAAUUAUUGGGCGUAAAGAGCUCGUAGGCGGCUGUCACGUCGGGUGUGAAAGCCCGGGGCUUAACCCCGGGUCUGCAUUCGAUACGGGCUAGCUAGAGUGUGGUAGGGGAGAUCGGAAUUCCUGGUGUAGCGGUGAAAAUGCGCAGAUAUCAGGAGGAACACCGGUGCGGAAGGCGGAUCUCUGGGCCAUUACUGACGCUGAGGAGCGAAAGCGUGGGGAGCGAACAGG